rnacentral:misc_RNA from 1 species
UACUAAUAUCAAUCUAUAAAAGAUUAUUAAUUCCUUAACAUAAAUUUAAAAUUAAUUUAUUGAAAAGCAUUUAGCAUAAAAAGUGUAUCGCUUCAACUCUAGUUAAAUCUUAAACUCUUAACUAAUUGUUUUAACUGAUUCUCAUUAAUGGCCGGGUCUAAAAACCUUGGUUAAUAGGUUUUUGAAAUUGUAUAGUCUUUUGGAGAAUGAAGAACGGACUUAGAGAAUGUUUGGUUUAACUUAUGAAAAUUAACUUAUAAACGCUAGCUGCUUAUAAACUAAUUGGAGCUUAUAAGCAUUUAAAUUUAAAUAGUUACGUGUUUGGUUAAACUGCUUAUAA